rnacentral:rRNA from 1 species
GAUGAACGCUAGCGGCAGGCCUAAUACAUGCAAGUCGAGGGGUAGAGGAGAGCUUGCUUUCCUUGAGACCGGCGCACGGGUGCGUAACGCGUAUGCAACCUACCUUUAUCAGGGGGAUAGCCCGAAGAAAUUCGGAUUAACACCGCAUAAAAUCACAGUAUCGCAUGAUACAAUGAUCAAAUAUUUAUAGGAUAAAGAUGGGCAUGCGUGUCAUUAGUUAGUUGGCGGGGUAACGGCCCACCAAGACCACGAUGAUUAGGGGAUCUGAGAGGAUGACCCCCCCACACUGGUACUGAGACACGGACCAGACUCCUACGGGAGGCAGCAGUAAGGAAUAUUGGUCAAUGGAGGCAACUCUGAACCAGCCAUGCCGCGUGCAGGAAGACGGCCCUCUGGGUUGUAAACUGCUUUUAUCGGGAAUAAACCUAUCUACGUGUAGAUAGCUGAAUGUACCGAAGGAAUAAGGAUCGGCUAACUCCGUGCCAGC